UACGUAGGGCGCAAGCGUUGUCCGGAAUUAUUGGGCGUAAAGAGCUCGUAGGCGGUUUGUCGCGUCUGUCGUGAAAGCCCACGGCUUAACCGUGGGUCUGCGGUGGAUACGGGCAGACUAGAGGCAGGUAGGGGAGAAUGGAAUUCCCGGUGUAGCGGUGAAAUGCGCAGAUAUCGGGAGGAACACCGGUGGCGAAGGCGGUUCUCUGGGCCUGUACUGACGCUGAGG
rnacentral:rRNA from 1 species